GUGAGGAAUAUUGCGCAAUGGAGGCAACUCUGACGCAGCCAUGCCGCGUGCAGGAAGAAGGCGCUACGCGUUGUAAACUGCUUUUAACCGGGAAGAAACCCCAGGACGUGUCCUGGGUUGACGGUACCGGAGGAAUAAGCACCGGCUAACUUCGUGCCAGCAGCCGCGGUAAUACGAAGGGUGCAAGCGUUAUCCGGAUUCAUUGGGUUUAAAGGGUGCGUAGGCGGAGCGUUAAGUCAGUGGUGAAAUCCUGCAGCUUAACUGUAGACUUGCCAUUGAUACUGGCGCUCUUGAGUGCGCUUGAAGUGGGCGGAAUGUGUCGUGUAGCGGUGAAAUGCUUAGGUAUGGCACAGAACACCAAUUGCGAAGGCAGCUCACUAAGGCGAUACUGACGCUGAGGCACGAAAGCGUGGGGAUCGAACAGGAUUAGAAACCCCUGUAGUCC
rnacentral:rRNA from 1 species